UAUUUGCAGUGCAGUGGAAGGUCUGAAACUAGAAAUCUUAAGGGAAAAAUUAAAUACUGGGUUCUUGAAUCUCAUUAAACUCAGGGGAGAUCCAGUUGCUCUGGAGAGUUAUUCAGAUCAUACUAAGCAGGUACAUACACGUGAUCAACUGGAGAGCUCCCCGGGCUCCACAAACUUAGCUACCUGAUGCAUAUGGACAUGCCUACAUGAGGAACACCUAAUCUGGAUCCCACCCCUUCUCAUUGAAUUCUUCACACAACGGGCUGUGUUUCAACAGAAGGUUUGAAAAGUGCCUUCAUUCAGACUAGUCUCAUUGACAGACAUGUCUGCUAGGAAGUGAGAGGAACAGGCAUAGAGCUGCUGAAGUAAAGGAUGGUCAUCUGGCUUUUUCACUUUCUGGAGAAUUCAUGAGAAGAUGAGUACCUUAUCCAGGAAAAGGCUUAUCAGUUAAGAAAAGCAAGACAAGGUUUACAGAGAGAGCACGUACCAUGUAUAAGAGGAUGUCUUCUGGGACACAUUCUUACUGCACUUACUGCGGUUUCUACUGCAGCCCUAUGACAUAAAUACUUGACUUCCAAUAGAAUCUACAGUGUUAGAAGUAUCUCAUGCAGUUUGAUUUCCUCAUAAUAUCUAUGCAUUCCACUGUUUUUAAGCAGUGAAAGUGUGACUAGAAAUGACAAACUAAUAUUUUAGAAGAGAUCUAGAAAUGUCUGCUUUAAUUUUCAGAUGAAUUUGUUUUGGCAGUCUCACUCUUCUUCUGUGUUUUGUGUAUACAUAUUCCAAAAGCCAGGAUGGCAGAAAUGUUGGACCCCCAAAAAAAGCAGAUUGGAAAUAAACAGCAAAAUAUAGAAGAAAAUUAUCGUCAUAUUUUAAUUAAGGGUGUUUGCCCUGGAAAUCCAAGUUUAUGAGGUGUACCUAGUUAUGAACAUAAAUAUGCCCCAUGACUAAUGCAGCCAAACAGCAUAUAUGAAACCAAAUAGUCAAUAUACCAAGUGAUCCUUUAGUUACGGAAUCUCUUUCAAAAAUUGGAAGGUCAAGAUACUCUUUCUACAAAGAAGGUGCAUUCCUAUCUUACAGUAUAGAAACCCAGUUAGGACAUAAUUCAUAGAGAUGAGACUGCAAGAUUGAUAACUAUAAUUUAAAACCUAUUUUUCCAUUUUUUGUUUCAGAUAAUAUUGUUGGCGCAAGCUAUCAUCUGAUAUUGGAUUAUAAUUAGAAGGAACUGGGGCAAUGUGAAGGCUAAAUAUUUUUUAAGCUGUUUCUUUGGGAACAUUUACUAACACAAUGAGCAGAAACUCACCAUUUACUGGUGGGAACUUGGGAUUAGGCUCUAACUCUUCUCCACCCAUGUUUGAUCUGUAAAGAGUACAGUACAUGGUAUUACUACUACAGUGUUUCACACUGAUAUCUGGCAACCCAUGCAUUGCUUCAGCAUGAAUCUUCAACAGAAUUUCAUCUACUUGAUCCACUUAAAUUUUCAUAAUUUCUGACAGAACUACCUAUUCUUAUACACGGAAUUUUCUAACAGAUAAUUAUUCUUUCAGAAAACAUCAGUCUAUCAAAACUAAAAAGAUUUUGUGAAGAAAUUGUCUAAUUUUAUUUACAUGCCUUACUCUCUGCCCCACCAAAAAAAAAAAAAAAAAAGAUAAAUAAUCAGGAAAGGCUAAGAUUUUCCACAUGCAGAAUAGAAAUAUUUUCAGAGGCACAGGUCUAAUCACAAAAUAGCAAAAAGUCCCUGAGCUAUGGCAUUUAUGUAAAAUGAAGGAAAUAGGAUGGGACAGAUGUAAAUCUGGACCUCUCAUAAAACAAGUGGGUGUCCUAAGUUACUGGCCAGUGUCUGGUCUCAGCAGCAUAUUUCACUCUUUCUGUGGUUUUGGAAAUGCUGAGCAGGUUGUAGUCUGCUCUUUCGUACUCUUCCAGCUCGCCCUUUCCUCACUUUCAGCAGCACUGGGGCUUCUUCAAAAAGGACACAGAUUUGUCAUCUUUAUUUUUGGUGAGUUCUUAGCUUUUGAAUACUUCAUUUGCCCUCUCUAAGCAAUACUUAUUCUGAUCCUUUCCUGCAUUUCAAAGGAUUAUUCUAGACUGGAUUCAGAAUGUGGAAAUAAUGUACAUGCACAGCUGACAAGAUAUCGCCGGUUGGGAAAUCUGUUGCCCUUGAUAUGGGCAGACAACAGGAUCAGACAGCCUAAAAAAAAAAAAAAAAAAAAAAAAACCAAAAACUAAAACAAAACAAAAAACAGGCAUCAUAACUUUGUUCACUGCUGUUACUUUACUGAAUAAAAAUCCCCAAUUAGUUGCCAAAAAUAAAGUCAAGGUGUUGUUUUUCUCAUCUUGUCGCUUGCAAUGCAUUUAUUUUUCUUUUAUCAGAAAGUAUAAAAACAGUUGUAACCUAUCAAGAUCUAGCCCCAUGGCUUUUCUAUCUAACACCACCAGGCCUGACAGUGACCAGUUACAGAUGUUUUGUAUGAAGGUCCAAUAAUCAAGUCUACAGAACAGAGGGGUAUUUUUGCUCACAGAGUAAAUCCUUUCCCAGUCCCUACUGACUGGUAUUUGAUUAAUGCAUAAAGCAUAAAGAUUAUAUCCUCCUUUAGGUUUCUGUUUUGGUUGUUCACAGUAUUGCUUAGGCAUUUAGCUGUUUUACCCUAUCAAAGAUAAGCACAGUGUCUAAAUCUGUGUAUCAUUCCCUUUGCUUGUGUGAGUUUUUUCAUUAACUUGAAAGAGAACCUAAAAUACUUCUGAAAGCUUAUGUCAACACCUUAGCUACCAGAGGCUAGACAUACGCAGCUGGCACAAGCUUACACAUGGGGAAGCUGGGAGCUAUAGGACAUGCAACCCUGCUGCUGAUAUGUACUAAGUAGAUAACAGAUAUUUCAGACCAGUUGUGCAUAGGCCAUUUCCCUCUGCAGGUGCAGAUCCCACCUCUUUUCUCUCAUUUUCCUCUCUUUUUGGAUAACAUGCACCCAAAGAGACACCUUGUGCUGUAUGGAGAGUCUGCUGCUUGUGCAGAAACCCUGAAAGGACUGGUAAUCCUUUCCUAUGUACAAACCAUGGGCAGUGGUCACUCUCUUCUGACAAUUAUAUUUUCAUCGAAUUUCACCAUAAGUUAAGACUUCCCAUUUCAGUCAGCCUGUCUAUUAUAGCACCUCACAAAAUCCAACUACUACACACGCUCCAGACAAAACUCAGUGUUAAUUCCUGCCCACUCAUAACCUGCCUCAGCAGUCCUGGAGUCCCGACUGACAGCCCUACUGACAUGGAGAAAAACCUCACUGCUCAAGUAGUCUUCUUGACUGACAGCAAAACAAUUUCAAUAACGUAGGAAAUAUAUCUAUGAACAAUCUACUUCUGUAGAACAAUCUACUUCUGCAUAUACUUUCUGUAUAUGCAGAAAACAAAUGGUUAUAUCAGUUUUUCUCUUUUCAGGGAAAUGAACAAGCCAUAAAAGUUGCGCAAUCAUGACUGAUAUACUGUGAAAUUUCAAAUUACUGUUUUUUUUUCAUUAAAAACUUGAUAGCUCCCUUGGAAGCAAUGAGAACUACAUGCUAAUUUUACAAAUAUUUCCUGUCAUCACUACAAGACAGUUUUUGCAUAGUUUGCACUGAAGUAACGGAGCAGAAAUAUAAUUUUAAACUUCAUAUCCAUUCAUCUCCAUUACUUUGUUAAUAUGCUGUGCCAUUGUCACAUCUCCAAUCAACCAAAAAAUAUCCUGAAUAGUAGUAAGAGGAUCAGCACCUUACAAAAUAAUUGUUUGAUCAGGUAUGAAGCUUCUCUUUCAUACAGAGUCUUUACAUUAAUGACUGGGUUUAAUUAGACUGGUUAGA